rnacentral:rRNA from 1 species
AGCGAACGCUGGCGGCGUGCCUAACACAUGCAAGUCGAGCGUGAAAGGGAGCAAUCCCAAGUAAAGUGGCGUACGGGUGAGUAACACGUAGGUAAUCUACCCCAGAAUCUGGAAUAACCGGCCGAAAGGCUGGCUAAUACUGGAUAGAGCGACGGAAUCCGUAAUUGGGUUUUUCGGGAAAGGGAGCCUGUAAAAAGGCCUUCGUUCUGGGAUGAGCCUGCGUCCCAUCAGCUAGUUGGUGAGGUAAAAGCUUACCAAGGCAAUGACGGGUAGCUGGUCUGAGAGGACGAUCAGCCACACUGGAACUGAAACACGGUCCAGACUCCUACGGGAGGCAGCAGUGGGGAAUCUUGCGCAAUGGACGAAAGUCUGACGCAGCAACGCCGCGUGAGUGAAGAAGGCCUUCGGGUUGUAAAGCUCUGUCGAGUGGGACGAAAAUGCUUGGAGUUCACAGCUCCAGGAACUGACGGUACCACUAAAGGAAGCACCGGCUAACUCCGUG